CACCACCCCCAAUCCUAUGUUUGAAUUAUUCAAAUUCUGAUGGCAAAAUUAAAUCAAAUUCACACUGCAGAGCUCCUCUGUGGACAGUUUCCAACAGGAUAUUCAGGAGAAACUUCCUAUUUGAAGACAGAGAAACAAAAAGAAUUAGAUAGACAAACUGCUGGAGGAAAAUAAUUCAUCUGACAGCAAAGAUGCAGUGGAGUCUGAUUCUGCUCUUCCUGAUGGCUCAGUGUUGCUUCAUGGACUGUCAGCUCUAUCAGUUUCACCACAUUAAUGAGAAUAAGA